ensembl:lncRNA
GACAUCAUUCUGUAUCCUGCGGGCCAAUCAUCUCUUUAAUGAAGGGUACAGGAAGCUGAGCCCUGGUGAGAGAGGUCCCGCCUUUCGGUUGUCAGGGAGACUCCCCGUUCACCCCGUUUGGUUUGGGUGCACGGGUUAGGGUUCUGUUUUAGGGUUGGGGUUCUGUUUUAAGGUUGGGGUUCUGUUUUAGGGUUAGGGUUCUUUUUUAAGGUUGGGGUUCUGUUUUAGGGUUAGGGUUCUGUUUAAGGGUUAGGGUUCUGUUUUAGGGUUAGGGUUCUGUUUUAAGGUUGGGGUUCUGUUUUAGGGUUGGGGUUCUGUUUUAGGGUUUGGGUUCUGUUUUAGGGUUAGGGUUCUGUUUAAGGGUUGGGGUUCUGUUUUAGGGUUGGGGUUCGGUUUUAGGGUUGGGGUUCUGUUUAAGGGUUGGGGUUCUGUUUGAGGGUUGGGGUUCUGUUUGAGGUUUAGGGUUCUGUUUGAGGUUGGGGUUCUGUUUGAGGUUUGGGGUUCUGUUUAAGGGUUGGGGUUCUGUUUUAGGGUUGGGGUUCUGUUUAAGGGUUGGGGUUCUGUUUUAGGGUUGGGGUUCUGUUUUAGGGUUUGGGUUCUGUUUUAGGGUUGGGGUUCUGUUUGAGGGUUGGGGUUCUGUUUAAGGGUUGGGGUUCUGUUUAAGGGUUGGGGUUCUGUUUUAGGGUUGGGGUUCUGUUUAGGGGUUGGGGUUCUGUUUGAGGUUUAGGGUUCUGUUUGAGGUUUGGGGUUCUGUUUUAGGGUUGGGGUUCUGUUUUAGGGUUGGGGUUCUGUUUUAGAGUUGAGUUCUGAAAAGCAGAUAAAUAUUCGUUCAACUAAUCAGCAUGUCAGUAAACUCUUGUCCACUAGGAACUCUUGUCCACUCGCAGAUCUGUCCCCUCACUUGUAACGUGGGACGGCAGAGAAGUGAUUAAUUCAUAUCUUUCCAUAUUUCUAUUUAAAGCCCCUGCUUUUUUGGUCCACAUGUCCGUUGGAUCAUUUGAUAAAUGUUGGUGAUAUUAAUGGUGUCCCCUCCAGUACAUACACAACGGUUUAUACUCACUACACAGUACUGUACUACACAGAGCUGCACUGUUCUAUGCUAUAUUAUAAAUACAUGUUGAGCGUUACAUAUGAUCUAACAC